AGCUGAUCCAGUGGCAGUGGGUUAUCAAUGCGAAUAUUCCUAUCACUCAAGUUGUACACAGCUCCCACUACCAAAUUUGACUGGAUUGGG
rnacentral:Y_RNA from 1 species